CAACACAUGGUGUAGUGGUUUGAACAUUGGACUAUGACUCUGGGAGACCAGGGUUCAAAUCCCUGCUUGUCCA